ensembl:piRNA 21ur-8398 ncRNA
UACUUCUCACUGUGAUUCAUU